UACGGGAGGGGCAAGCGUUAUCCGGCAUAACUGGGCGUAAAGAGUCCGUAGACUGUAAAAUAAGUUGCUUGUUAAAACUUAAAGCUUAACUUUAAAAUGGCUUGCAAUACUGUUUUACUUGAGUUUUAUGCAGAAGAGUAGAAUUUUAUACGAAAGGGUAAAAUCUGAAAAUAUAUAAAGGAAUACCAGUAGCGAAGGCGACUCUUUGGUAAAAACUGACGUUGAGGGACGAAAGUAUGGGUAGCAAACAGG
rnacentral:rRNA from 1 species